GGGUUGUGAGGUUAAGCGACUAAGCGUACACGGUGGAUGCCACGGCAGUCAGAGGCGAUGAAGGGCGUGCUAAUCUGCGAUAAGCGCCGGUAAGGUGAUAUGAACCGUUAUAACCGGCGAUACCCGAAUGGGGAAACCCAGUGUGACUCGUCACACUAUCAUUAACUGAAUCCAUAGGUUAAUGAGGCGAACCGGGGGAACUGAAACAUCUAAGUACCCCGAGGAAAAGAAAUCAACCGAGAUUCCCCCAGUAGCGGCGAGCGAACGGGGAGGAGCCCAGAGCCUGAAUCAGCAUGUGUGUUAGUGGAAGCGUCUGGAAAGGCGCGCGAUACAGGGUGACAGCCCCGUACACAAAAGCGCAUAUGCUGUGAGCUCGAUGAGUAGGGCGGGACACGUGGUAUCCUGUCUGAAUAUGGGGGGACCAUCCUCCAAGGCUAAAUACUCCUGACUGACCGAUAGUGAACCAGUACCGUGAGGGAAAGGCGAAAAGAACCCCGGCGAGGGGAGUGAAAAAGAACCUGAAACCGUGUACGUACAAGCAGUGGGAGCCCCACCACUAAGCCAGUGGUGAACUCCACAUACGCAUCCUUUGCUGAGGAUACGGUUAACGGAGCGAAAGCGACGUUCAACCUCAAAAGAAGCAGAGGGGGCUUAGUGGUGGGGUGACUGCGUACCUUUUGUAUAAUGGGUCAGCGACUUAUAUUCUGUAGCAAGGUUAACCGUAUAGGGGAGCCGGAGGGAAACCGAGUCUUAACCGGGCGUUAAGUUGCAGGGUAUAGACCCGAAACCCGGUGAUCUAGCCAUGGGCAGGUUGAAGGUUGGGUAACACUAACUGGAGGACCGAACCGACUAAUGUUGAAAAAUUAGCGGAUGACCUGUGGCUGGGGGUGAAAGGCCAAUCAAACCGGGAGAUAGCUGGUUCUCCCCGAAAGCUAUUUAGGUAGCGCCUCGUGAAUUCAUCUCCGGGGGUAGAGCACUGUUUCGGCUAGGGGGCCAUCCCGGCUUACCAACCCGAUGCAAACUGCGAAUACCGGAGAAUGUUAUCACGGGAGACACACGGCGGGUGCUAACGUCCGUCGUGAAGAGGGAAACAACCCAGACCGCCAGCUAAGGUCCCAAAGUCAUGGUUAAGUGGGAAACGAUGUGGGAAGGCCCAGACAGCCAGGAUGUUGGCUUAGAAGCAGCCAUCAUUUAAAGAAAGCGUAAUAGCUCACUGGUCGAGUCGGCCUGCGCGGAAGAUGUAACGGGGCUAAACCAUGCACCGAAGCUGCGGCAGCGACACUCAGGUGUUGUUGGGUAGGGGAGCGUUCUGUAAGCCUGCGAAGGUGGCCUGUGAGGGUUGCUGGAGGUAUCAGAAGUGCGAAUGCUGACAUAAGUAACGAUAAAGCGGGUGAAAAGCCCGCUCGCCGGAAGACCAAGGGUUCCUGUCCAACGUUAAUCGGGGCAGGGUGAGUCGACCCCUAAGGCGAGGCCGAAAGGCGUAGUCGAUGGGAAACGGGUUAAUAUUCCCGUACUUGGUGUUACUGCGAAGGGGGGACGGAGAAGGCUAUGUUGGCCGGGCGACGGUUGUCCCGGUUUAAGCGUGUAGGUGUGUGUUCCAGGUAAAUCCGGUUCACUUUAACACUGAGGCGUGACGACGAGGCACUACGGUGCUGAAGCAACAAAUGCCCUGCUUCCAGGAAAAGCCUCUAAGCAUCAGGUAACACGAAAUCGUACCCCAAACCGACACAGGUGGUCAGGUAGAGAAUACCAAGGCGCUUGAGAGAACUCGGGUGAAGGAACUAGGCAAAAUGGUGCCGUAACUUCGGGAGAAGGCACGCUGACAUGUAGGUGAAGUGAUUUACUCAUGGAGCUGAAGUCAGUCGAAGAUACCAGCUGGCUGCAACUGUUUAUUAAAAACACAGCACUGUGCAAACACGAAAGUGGACGUAUACGGUGUGACGCCUGCCCGGUGCCGGAAGGUUAAUUGAUGGGGUCAGCGCAAGCGAAGCUCCUGAUCGAAGCCCCGGUAAACGGCGGCCGUAACUAUAACGGUCCUAAGGUAGCGAAAUUCCUUGUCGGGUAAGUUCCGACCUGCACGAAUGGCGUAAUGAUGGCCAGGCUGUCUCCACCCGAGACUCAGUGAAAUUGAACUCGCUGUGAAGAUGCAGUGUACCCGCGGCAAGACGGAAAGACCCCGUGAACCUUUACUAUAGCUUGACACUGAAUAUUGAGCCUUGAUGUGUAGGAUAGGUGGGAGGCUUUGAAGUGUGGACGCCAGUCUGCAUGGAGCCGGCCUUGAAAUACCACCCUUUAAUGUUUGAUGUUCUAACGUGGACCCGUGAUCCGGGUUGCGGACAGUGUCUGGUGGGUAGUUUGACUGGGGCGGUCUCCUCCUAAAGAGUAACGGAGGAGCACGAAGGUUGGCUAAUCCUGGUCGGACAUCAGGAGGUUAGUGCAAUGGCAUAAGCCAGCUUGACUGCGAGCGUGACGGCGCGAGCAGGUGCGAAAGCAGGUCAUAGUGAUCCGGUGGUUCUGAAUGGAAGGGCCAUCGCUCAACGGAUAAAAGGUACUCCGGGGAUAACAGGCUGAUACCGCCCAAGAGUUCAUAUCGACGGCGGUGUUUGGCACCUCGAUGUCGGCUCAUCACAUCCUGGGGCUGAAGUAGGUCCCAAGGGUAUGGCUGUUCGCCAUUUAAAGUGGUACGCGAGCUGGGUUUAGAACGUCGUGAGACAGUUCGGUCCCUAUCUGCCGUGGGCGCUGGAGAACUGAGGGGGGCUGCUCCUAGUACGAGAGGACCGGAGUGGACGCAUCACUGGUGUUCGGGUUGUCAUGCCAAUGGCACUGCCCGGUAGCUAAAUGCGGAAGAGAUAAGUGCUGAAAGCAUCUAAGCACGAAACUUGCCCCGAGAUGAGUUCUCCCUGAGACUUUAGGUCUCCUGAAGGAACGUUGAAGACGACGACGUUGAUAGGCCGGGUGUGUAAGCGCAGCGAUGCGUUGAGCUAACCGGUACUAAUGAACCGUGAGGCUUAACCUUACAACGCCGAAG
rnacentral:rRNA from 1 species